rnacentral:rRNA from 1 species
UACAGGGGGGGCAAGCGUUGUUCGGAAUUACUGGGCGUAAAGGGCCAGUAGGCGGCCGACUAAGUCCGACGUGAAAUCCCCAGGCUUAACCUGGGAACUGCGUCGGAUACUGGUUGGCUUGAAUUCGGGAGAGGGAUGCAGAAUUCCAGGUGUAGCGGUGAAAUGCGUAGAUAUCUGGAGGAAUACCGGUGGCGAAGGCGGCUCUCUGGAAUGCUACUGACACUGAGGCACGAAAGCUGGGGGAGCAAACAGG